GGCAGUUCACAGUUCUCUGGCAUGUGAGAGAAGAUGAGUGAGGAGGAAAAGUCUGAAGAGGAAUUGGGUAGGUCCUCAAUGCUAUGCUAGAUUUGGCUUGGCCCUAAGGGCUCAUUUUCCAUUAACAAUCUACAUUAUUAGAGUCUCCUGGGGGCACUAAGGAAUGAUGCCCACUCCUGUGCCCAACUCCAGAUGGAAGAAAUCCGAGUAUCUGGGGAAUAAUGGCUUUAUAUAGACUGAAGUUUGAAAAUCUUGGCUACGAGUCAUGAGCCGCCAGGAAAGUUUCCAAAGGGAGCCCUGGAUGCUGCGCGUCAGCUCCUGACACAGGAUAGCCUUUGCGGCCGGAGAGUGGUCCAGGAGCCCGAGCAUCACCUGGGAGCAUGUGAGGAAUGCAGAGUCUCAGGACCAUCCCAGACCUCCCACCUUUUAUGAAGAUUCCUCGGUGGUUCCUCUGCUCAUUAAUAUUUGAGACGUAUUGGUCUAAGCAAUGGAUUAAGAAAGACCAAGCCGGAGGCAAUGGGAAUGGAAAGGAGGGAGGGAGUUUAGAAGGAUUUCAAAGGAGGAACAUCCAAGUUGUAUUGGGAUUCCAUGAAAUGAA
rnacentral:lncRNA from 1 species